ACGGGAGGCGCGGGAGGGGCCCGGCCCGCGGCCGCGGAGCGGGGAAAAGCCGGGGCCGUCACAUCGCUGAAAUCGCACGAUGUGGGAAUCCCUGCUGCGUUUUCUUUCUAAAUUCAAAAAGUGAUCUAUUUAUUUACCUGUUAAGUGAAUUCCGGUGCGUUACCGAGUGCUGCGGUGUUACCAUCCAGUUUGUCUCCAAUAUUCACGUUUUACGAGGUAAAAAAGGGCUGAGACGCGCUCCAGACCGAGUCCGAGUUACAGUGUGACAACAGUCUUGCUGCUUAAUCUGGAGAUGCAUUAUUAGUCUGGUUUGUUCUGUGCAAACACAUUUAAUGUUCUUGUGGCUAUGAUUUAAUAUGCGUUAUAGGUAUUUUUAGUGAUGCAGCGAUAGUUUGUCAGAUGUAGGGAAAAAAAGUAUAAACUUAAAUUGCUGUAUAUCAAAUUAAAGUCUCAUGAUCCAGCUAAGAGUGUCUGACACAAUCCAUUACCUUUUGUCACAUCUCAGCAAUUCUUCCCAAACUUUGCCGUGGCGGCUGCCGCCCCAAGCUGGUGUGUUGAUUGAUUGAUUGAUUGAGGAGUGCUAGCAGGAAUAGUGCAGCUGCUUUCUUAGGACGAGAUAAACGGGAGACGACCACUUAUGUCCAUACUUACGGCUACUAAGUGUUCAUGUUGGCUUAUAGUUGGAUUGUAACAUGAUGUAGUUGUGCCUGCUUUUUCUUGAUACUUGCCUUGAAAACAGCACAUUAUGGUAAAAUUAAUAUACUUUUGAAAAACCUUUGGUGUAUGUGUGCUUCCUAGAAUAUGUCAGGAAGAUAUUGUCAAGACUUUUCCUACUUUGGGAGUUUUGUGGUCUUUGAAGAAAUGUUUUUGUGACAACUUUUGGCCGAUGGCUAUCAAAAAUGCAAGUAAACAAGCUGUGACUCCCUUAUGCUUGCUGUUUUUCAUGAGCUGGAGAGAAAGAUUAGCAAGGACAAGGUAGGAGCAGCAGUGGCGGACUGCCUGUAAGUGCCUCAACAAUUGAGGAUUUGUAGUCUCCAGUUUAAUGUACACAAAAGAAUUGACAGUAGGAAAACACUGAAAUUCCAGAGCCACAGGAAAAUCUUGAACCAAAGUUUGUACUUUUACGACACAAAAUUUACAAAAAGCAGGAAAUCAUUACGAAAACUUGCAGGAAAUUGGGAUUUGUUGUUUUAGUUCUCCUAAGGCCAUCUAUUUGAGAGUUUUUAUCUUUAUUUUCUAUGGAUGUGAAAUUUGGGCAUAUGACUGUAUUUUUCUGACAGUUCUUAACUACUGAUAAAAGCUGCUGGAAGUUUUAGUAAGCUGUUGCAGCUUUCAGGAAUGUUAAAUUCUUACAGGUGUCAUGAAAGUAACCACCUGAAAGGAAGAAAGAUUCCUUGUGGCAUAGUUUGGAGGAGAAUUGUCAGAAGAGCUUGGCCUUUCGUGUUUCUGCUGCUGAUGGAACUGCAUUUUGGAGGUUACAUGAAAGGGCUUAGGUUCCCUUAGUCAAGCACUUAGAUAUUAGCAGAUCUAUAUAAUGAUUUUUUCCCCCAUGCAGUCUGGAAGUUGGGCUAUUUCUUUUCUUCGAUUCUUGUCUUUUCCUUCUCUUGUCUUCUGUUUUAAUUUUUUUGUUUGGUUUGUUUGUUUUUUUUUGUUUGGUUGUUUUUUAUCACUCUCUGCAGAGUUCCUCUGUCACAUUCAGUAUGUGGGUGCUGCUGGAUUAGAUGUGACAUGAUAAUCAGAUAGUUGUAUGUGAGAUUGGUGCUGCAUUUGUUACAGAAACUAUGCAUAAGGAGUUAUCUCAGAUUAAUGUUAGCAUAUACAGCAUAGGUUGGGCUGGAAGGGACCUUAAAGAUCAUCUCGUUCCAAACCCUUGCCAAGGGCAGGAUGCCACUCACUAGGUCAGGUUUCCCAGAGCCCUAUCCAGCCUGGCCUUGGGCACUUCCAGGGAUGGGGCAUCCACACCCUCUCCUUGCUUUAUGUUGUCUCCUUUCUUCUGUUUGUCCUUCUGUCUAUGCUUCCUUCCCUGUAUCCUAUUUGUAAUUCUUGUUUCCGGACAGAAGCCCUAGAGGGCAGCAAAGCAGCCAAAGCGUUCAGAAGGUGCAAAUUGGGCCCGUCUGAGGAUUCUCUUUAGGAGCCCGUCGGUUUUUCAUUCGUGGAGAUUAUGCCUUUCUUCUUAAAACGUGUUUUAAGAUCCCCACGUCAUAGUUUCAGGGGGAAGGCUUGUGUUUGGGCAGGGAUCCUUGGGGAUCAAAGUGGAUUGCAACAGAGAGGAGGGGAAUUAGGGAAUGGACAAGUUGAAGACAAGGAAGGUGAAGCAGUGGCUUCUUCCCUUUCAGUGAAAUUGCUAAAAAGUAGAUACAGAAGCUCAAAAGGAAACAGCUUUCCCUAUCCAUCAAUUAACUCAGCUUAAAACCUAUACAGCUUCUGAGGAUGCUCCACACAGGGUUGAGACCUUGUGCAGUUUUUGUUGGUGUGGGUUCUUGGAGUUCAUUGCAGACCAGACUCUGAUUGGAGUGUGGGCUCCUGCGUAUUAUUACCUUACAGUGAGGGCUGAUGAUGGUAUUAACUGUUGAGUGGUGAGCUAGGGGAAGGUUUAAGAGACUGGUUAUUCAGAAGCAACUAAAUUCUUAGAACGAGGUUUUAACAUGCCUAUAGAAUUAUUUAGGGUGGAAAUGACUCUAAAAUUGAGUCCAGCCACAAACCCAGCACUGCCAAGUGCUUCACUAAACCACAUCCCUAAGUGCCAUAUCCAUGCUGCUUUUAAAUACCACCAGGGAUGGCGACUCCACUGCUUCCUUGAGCAGCCUGUUGCAAUGCUUGACUGCUCUCUCUGUGAAGAAAGUUCUCCAAAUAUCCAAUCUAAACCUCUUCUGGUGCAACUGGAGGCUGUUUCCUCCCAUCCUAUGAGAAGAGACCUGUGAGAAGAGACCAAUCCCCACCUGGCCACAGCCUCCUUUCAGGCAGUUGUAGACAGCCGUGAAUAUUCCCCUCAGCCUCCUUCUUUCCAUGCUUAACUACCCCUGCCCACUCAGCUGCUCCUCAUAAAAUUCGUGCUCCAGACCUUUCACCAGCUUCCUGUGGAUGCUCUUCAUACCCCUUGUGUGCCCAUCUCAACUAUAAAUUUCUAACUCAUUAAAUUCUAGGUCAGGGGAAGUAUUGCAGAUCACAUGUUUGUCCUUUUUAUCUUAUGGUGACAGUUUCAUGCUUUCAGCUUUUUUGGAAAGAGCAUUUUGACAGCUUCCUGUCUUGGGAAUGUUGCCUUACACCAUUUAAAAUCUGUGUCUUUAAAUAUUUUUAGAAACAGGUCAACAGAUUUGUGAUGCUUCUCUAGAAAAAUUAUAGAUAGCUGAUGUGUGUUGUGUGAAACCCAGAGAAAAUAGGAUGACUGUGGAAACCUUUUGGCAAUAUCCAGCCUGGAAACUUGUGCUUUAAUGUGAAGGUUUGUAAUUGUUCCAUAAAGAAAAGUAAGCUCUUUGUCGUCAUUACCACAUUAAGAAAAGCAUGCCUGGGAUCAAGGUAAUUUCAGAUAAAUUACACUGCUUGGAGUCUGUUCACGCCUCUGCUGUAGAAUAUAUAGGUGUCAUCCAUCAAAUCCUGUGUUGCUUUUAUAUUGAACACAACUUGGCCUGCUGGGUGGUAAGUGGGAGGCUUAGAGUGGACAGGGUGAGAUUUAUUAGUUCUUUUUCACCGAUGGUUGUUGCUGUGUUUCAUUCAACAUUCUUGAGUUUUUCAAGGACUUCACAUUUUAGUGGAACAAGUGGAAGAUGGUGGAUUUUCUACAGCUCUAGAAAAUCAGGCCUUCAGUCUCAAGCUACCAUUUAUUAGUAUUUUUGAAUUCUAGGCUUAAUCUUUUAAGGCAGAAGUUAGUAAAAAUUUGUUCUAUAUUAAAAUGAAACAGCAAAGCAUUUCCUGCCUUUCUACUGUUAAUCUCCCAACUGAGAUUUUUUUCUUUGUUAAUCUCCCAACUGAGAUUUUUUUCUUUGUUUUCUUUCUUUUUGUAGUGCUGUUUUCCAGUUGAAGAUUUCAAGAGUUAUCUGCUUUCCAGAUCUGAAUGGAAUCCUUCUGCAUCAGAACAGGAAACUAAUAAGGAGGGACAGCUGUUCGUGCUCAGCCCUUUCAGUAUCAUUGUUUCAUUUCUCUUCAGUUAAUCUAAAUAUCUGGUGAGCUGUACUGUUUGCAGAAAGUAAGGAGGUUCUGUGUCUGUUUGAAUAUGAUAACUCACUGUGGGAAAAGCUGAGUGUAGCUGACUUCAUCUUGUGCUACAUAGGUACCUCAGGACAAUAGGUUGCCUGUCCCUGUGCUAACUUCAGAACUUGAAGAGGUGACCUUUUGCUGUGAGGAGAGGUUGAUUUCUGGCUGUUGAUGAACCUUUCAUAACUGAAAAGUACAAGGAACUGGUAUGGUAAAGUCUUAAGGUAAGAAACUUUAUAAUAAAAAGUAUGUGACUUCAAAGCAGGAAUUCUGAGUACAUGUAAGGCAAAACCUAUAAAAUAUAAGCUCUGUGCAAGAAAUUUAUUCACUGUGCUGAGGGUAGUUUUAUGCUGGGUAAUCUUUAAGGUGUGUUUUUUGGAGAGGCUGCUUGGAAAGAAGCACUAGCAGUGCUUUUUCCACUCUCAGCCUCACAGGUGGGAUGCUUCUGUCCAGAAAACAAACAAUGAGGCUUUUAAGACUGUUGGGCUUUUAAAAUUUACCAAAGAGUAUAAUCUGGGGAGUCUGACUCAGUAUUAUUUGGGAAUUCUUUGUAUUAUUACAUUCUUGGAAAAUGCUAUCUAGUAGAAUACAAAGAAAAAAAAACCAGAGGACUUGCUAGCUAGCACAAGCAUAUUCCUAACUAGGAGUUAUUUUUUCUGAAUCUGGGCCUAAACCAUCUAAUUUUCAGUUUUAUUCUUUGGACAGUAUAUAAUGAAAACAUAGGAUUAAAAGUGGCUUUUAAAAAUAUUGUUAUAUUAGAGACUAAUAGACAACAGUUGAGAUAAAGAUGCAAUUAGUAAUAGUACAAUAAUUCAGCCUUCAGAGCUCCUUGUUACUUUACAAAAAACAAUCACCCAGAACUAUGGGUUCCUGGGUUUAUUGUGAACAGAGCAUGCAGGUAAAAUUAUUUGCUACAAUUACUUAGCAGGGUCCUGCAUUCUGUUAGAAUUCAAGCAAACUGCAUCCAGACUGCUUAAUUUUGCCUUGUUUUGUAUUGAUCGAGAGACACAGGAAAAAUUUAAAUAUUGUGUAAAUGUUGUGUAAAUAUUUAAAUAUUUUAAAAAAUCCCACCAAACCUGGAACCAAAGAAGCUAUGGGUGUUUUCUGUCCCCUCUCUAACACCACCAGCAGGUCACUGCCUCUGCUCUGAGGCAGGGAGAGGCUGUGGCCAUGCCAGGACAGGGUUGAGCCAAGAGGAUUGAGCAGCCACAGCUGCAGGGAGGGGAAGGGUGAUAGUGGCUGUUGGCCCAAACAAGAUAUGUGGUGACUUUAUGUUUGGUUCUAGGAGUUUUAUUUUUUUCUCUCCCUUACUCUGGAAAUCCAAGAUGCUUUCUCCCAUUGAAGAGAAAGGAGAAUGGAGAUGGACAUACUGUCCAAAUGGGGAAAAAAAUUUCUAUGCCCUUUUGAGGUGUUCUUUAAGAAGGAACAGUUCCUCCCUGUUAGCCCACACUCCAAAUGUUAGAUGUAUAAAUAAAAACUGGCUGUGUACUCCCUCAUCAGUUUUAUUUUGAGAUUUUUUUUUUCUUACUUUCAGAACAUUGGAUUUUUUUAGUUAUUGUUCCAUAAUUGUUACCCAUAAAAACUCUGAAGGAAAUUCAGUAAUUCCAAAACUAGAAAAGUGUUAAUAUUUAUUGUUAGGCAAAUGUUAUGGCUGCUUAAAAAUAUUAACAUAUCUCAGUUCCUAGGUCAACAGUCUGCUGUGUGACUGGAUAUUUCUUUUAUUUCAGACCCCAGAAAUAAUGGGACCUUUAGGAACCUCAGGCUGAACUUGGUGAGUAUCUCAAGAUAGUGUAGAAAUAAAUGGAACAGAUUCAGUGGGAUGCACAGAUAUCUUCUCAAAGUCUUUCCUUUUGCUGGACACAUGUGCUUGUUAAACUACUGACUUGCCUUAGUUUUAAGGACUUUUGUUUCUCAUGUCUCUUCCCACAAGAUAGCAAAUAACGUUAAUCACAAGCAGGUAAGUAUUCAUGGAUGUUAUUACUUAACAGGAGGCCUUUGCCUGCAUUCCUUUGGGGGUAAGAAUUUGUACAAUAAUGACUGCUUUAUUGAUUUGAAUGUAAAAAUAAAUAAAUAAAGUUAUAAUUGUUUCUCCACCUUAGUUGGAAUUCA